rnacentral:rRNA from 1 species
GAUCCUGGCGUCAGGACGAACGCUGGCGGCGCGCCUAACACAUGCAAGUCGAACGAGCGAGAGAGAGCUUGCUUUCUCAAGCGAGUGGCGAACGGGUGAGUAACGCGUGAGGAACCUGCCUCAAAGAGGGGGACAACAGUUGGAAACGACUGCUAAUACCGCAUAAGCCCACGACCCGGCAUCGGGUAGAGGGAAAAGGAGCAAUCCGCUUUGAGAUGGCCUCGCACUCCGUAUUAGCUUAGGUUGGG